GCAGAGGUCGCAUAGUAUGGUAAUUGUGCCCGAUUGCUACCCGGAUAAGGUAUCAACCUUGCAUGGGUUCAAAUCCCAUCCUCUGCG
rnacentral:tRNA from 1 species